UACGUAGGUGGCAAGCGUUGUCCGGAUUUACUGGGCGUAAAGAGCGCGCAGGCGGUCGUUCAAGUCGCGUGUGAAAGCCCCCGGCUCAACUGGGGAGGGUCACGCGAUACUGAUCGACUGGAAGGCAGGAGAGGGUAGUGGAAUUCCCGGUGUAGUGGUGAAAUGCGCAGAUAUCAGGAGGAACACCGGUGGCGAAGGCGGGUCUCUGGGCAACAACUGACGCUGAGGAGCGAAAGCGUGGGGAGCGAACAGG
rnacentral:rRNA from 1 species